GCGGGAUUAGUAUAGUGGCAGUACGCAACCUUCCCAAGGUUGAGGUGAGGGUUCGAUUCCCUUAUCCCGCU
rnacentral:tRNA from 1 species